rfam:Oryza sativa Japonica Group DNA, chromosome 1, cultivar: Nipponbare, complete sequence.
AAAAAAAAAAAACCUGAGUCUACGUAUCCAAUAUUUGACUGUCCGUUUUAUAUGACAUUUUUUUAUAAUUAGUAUUUUUAUUGUUGUUAGAGGAUAAAACAUGAUUAAUACUUUAUGCGUGACUUAUCUUUUUAAUUUUUUCAAAUAAGACGGACAAUUAAACGUUGGACACGGAAAUAUAGAGUUUGUCUUAUU